rnacentral:lncRNA from 10 species
AGUCGCGUGGAGGAGGCUUUUCCAGGCACAGCCUUUCUCAUGGCUCAACUCCGAAUGGAUUGGAUUGCGAGUCUGCACGUGAGAAAACCGUUUGGCUUGGCUUGGACCCCUGCCGCCCCCCACCUCCUCCACACACACCCAGUCCAGGGGUCCCCUUUAUCACCCUUUGCUUGCAACUCCAAAAGAAGUUGCCCACCUCCUGAGUCACAACACAAGGUCGAAUAAUUCCUCUAGAUGAAAGAUCAGUUUCAUUUCAAAACGAGAAUAGGUUCCUUUUUUUAUUUUCUCCACAUGGUACAAAAUAAACAGAAUUUGCUUUAAAAAAAAU